CCCCUCCUCUGUUCCUGACUGGUGCUAAACAAGUGGGUGAUCACUUGCUAGAGCUGUUGUAAUCCAGCCCUCUUAACCCUGAAUCUCUGCACACGGGGUGUGGAUUAGCUGUGAGGCAGUAGGAACUCAAGUAUGUAUGCGCUGUUGAGCAGAAAGCCAUGGGAUAGGAAAACUUGUGCAGAAGACCUACUACAAGAGUCAGGACCUAAGUCUAGCUUCUAAACGAGGCCAGAGGUGCUUUGCUAUAUUAACACCAAUUCCUGCACUCAGUCUUGUGUGUGCAAUUCUUGUGUAAUUUGGGUAUAAACCCAUAGGUGGUUCAACUUGGGUCUUUUCUCUAGCCUUGGAGGUUGGGCGCAAGUUCUUCAGCAUGGCUUUGCAGUGACCCAUGUAACUCAGUGGUAAGGCUUUAAGCUCACUCUGGUUCAGACCUGCUGGGCUCAGCAAGCCUUGGUUUGAAGGGAGGGGCAUGUGUACUUUUAAAAAGAACGUUUAAUGUUAUUAUGUUUCAUAUUUGGAAAACAGGUGGGGAAAGUCUGUUCUUUCAAAGCACAGACAACAGGAAGUGAAGCUUAGUGAAAGGU
rnacentral:lncRNA from 1 species